GUGGGAGGGGGCUUGCUCCCGAUAGCCGUGUGUCAGUCAGCUCAUCUGUAACUGAGACACCGCUAUCGGGAGCAAGCCCCCUCCCAU
rnacentral:misc_RNA from 1 species